CCUCCUUUGUGUUUUGAUCAGUGCCCCCCGAAUACUUGCCAAUUGAGUGGUUCCAGAAAGAGGACCAGCCCACCCUGGAGGAGAUGCAGCUCCACGCCUGGAUCCAGCAGGCCUGAUAGACACUGGAGUGUGGGGAUGCACCCCACUGACUGCCGGAAUAAUGGCAAUGAGACAGAGAAACAAAUGGCCCAUUGAGGAGAAAAUUAUUUAGAGAAUGGCGAUAAAUGGAGAUAUAGAAUGGAGAUAUACACCAGUGAGCCAAAAAUUGACAAUUCACAGAUGAAGUGAAUUAUCUCCUAAGAAUGACACAUGUCUUUAAGGCCUGCGAUAUAUUCGAGGGUACGGCAGGCCAAAGCCACAGAAGAAGCCAACGGAAGAGGGGCGGGCCAGUGAGGAGACCACGGCCCAAAGACUCCCUCCUCCACCAAGAACAGUUCCGAGUAGCCCGGCUGGGCCAAUCAGAGGAGCUCUACCUUCACUGCCAACUCGACGGGCACCCCUGCCAAGCCCUGGUGGACACGGUGUCCACCAUCACCCGGCCUGGCGUGCUCCCCAACACCACGGGCACACUUCCACCAAGCUGAGAACGGCGACUGGUGAACGAGCAGAGACGAGAGGAUGCAAGCUGCUGUGCGUCAGCAAACCCACCAUGACUUCUGGCUGGUCAUGGUCAUGGUCACUAAAACAUAGGCGUAGUAAAAUAGCUUAUAGUGAGUUGUAAUAUUUAGAAAAAGUAAAUACGGAGUGGCUUCACCUCAAUGUAAUGUAUUUGGACUUGGCAAUUAAAAAUAAUGAUGUCCUCUGAAAAGGGGUGGUGGUGGAGGGAUUAAUAAUAAAAGAAAAAAAAGAAAGUUCAG